GCUCGUGUGGCACAGUGGUUUGAGUGUUCAACUAUGACUCUGGAGACGGGUUCAAUUCCUGGCUGGACCA